GCCGGUCUCGUCCGAUCACGAAGCUAAGCAGCAUCGGGCUCCGUCAGUACUUGGGAGGGAGACCACCUGGAACACGGAGUGCUGAUGGCA
rnacentral:rRNA from 1 species